UACGUAGGGAGCAAGCGUUGUCCGGAAUCAUUGGGCGUAAAGCGCGCGUAGGUGGCCCCAUAAGUCCGCUGUGAAAGUCAAAGGCUCAACCUUUGAAAGCCGGUGGAUACUGUGGGACUAGAGUACGGAAGAGGCGAGUGGAAUUCCUGGUGUAGCGGUGGAAUGCGCAGAUAUCAGGAGGAACACCAAUAGCGAAGGCAGCUCGCUGGGACGUGACUGACACUAAGGCGCGAAAGCGUGGGGAGCGAACAGG
rnacentral:rRNA from 1 species